UGAAUCAACCAUUUGUACAGAGCCUCCUAAAGACUACUGUAAACAGAGUAACAUCUUAACAUGCCGCUACACUCCAACAACAGCAAUUAACAAUACAGAAGAAUUCAGCUUCUUUGUGCAAACAACAUGUGGAAUGAAAACAACAAAAUUCACUGUGGACAUAACAGGGUCAUCAAUCAAACACAGCAGAUGAAUCUAAGAAUGAUGUCAUCACUGCAGUUGUGGUCUUAUCUGUCAUCCUCAUCAUCAUCUUAAUGGCAAUAAUUAGCAAAAAACAAUAUUUUGGGUUCCUGAAGAGGAUGUUUCUGUGCAUCAAACAUGAUGGCAACGGUAAUUGUCUUGAACAAUUGAAAUACUCCUCACCGGGGCCUGACCAGUGUUCGAUAAAUAUUAUUGAUUCAGCAAAACCAAACUAAUGAGUUUUAUUUGACUUUUCAUGUAGUGCUCAUUAAACACACAAGCUUUAUUUGAACUCCACUAAACUACAUACUCCACUAUCUCUUGUAUCUCAAACUACUGAAUAUAUAACUCUGGUGGUUGAUUUAAAACCCAGUUUCUGUUUUAUACAAGUUUCUGUGAAAUAACAGUAUAUUAUUGAUCUGUGUGAUCAGUGUGUAUAUUUGUACAUGUGACUGUAAAGAGGAAACACAGCGAAACUCAGACUGUGUUUGGGUUUUGCUCUUUUUUUUCUGACUUUAAAGGAAUGUCUGAAAUGAAUGCCAGUUUGGUACAGUGAGUGUUAAUAUAACUUAAGUUUGGAAAUAAUUUUUUGUUUAAUAUUCUACACUUGAAGUGUGGCUUUGUACAGUGGUUCAUUUAUAUAAAAAUAAAAAAUUUAUUACACUUUG